AGCACACAGGGCUGAUUUCACUUAUUGAUGAACAGGGAUGGCUACUACUGCCCACGUGGCAGCACAAAUGUUUUUCCACACACUCAGGCCAAUGGAGGAGUGUUUUUGUAGGGGGUGAGGCUGCGGAACAGGAUCUAACCUCAGUUAGCUCUAGUCCUCCUUCUGUGCCCAGUCAGGAAACAAAGUCACACCUUGGAAAGUCCUGGUAACACAAAAGGAUAUACUUGUCUUUGAUGGAAAUGUCUGCAGUGCGUGUAACACCUCUGGGAAUUUGGCAAAGAAAAAUCGUCAUUCAAGUCUGGAUGAGUGACAAGAGUCUGGAAGCUCAGCGUCCAUGCCACUAUCUGCAGGAUGUGUAGAUUUUAUUCAGCUUUGCUGGACGCCCUGAGGUUGUCUAGCGCUUCAGAAGACCAGGCCCCACCCCUUGAAAGCAGCUCAGUCCAGGCGCCUAAGGCCUUUGAGAUGGGUUGAAAUGCUCUCUUGUCAUUUCUCUUCAUUUGUCUUGGAGACCACUGAGAGAAGGGAGGUUUGUCCAUCUGGACUGGAAGCUGUUCAGAACAGAAUUGCUUCUGGAUAGCUGCACAAUGCUGAACUGCAAACCUAUAUGCAUAGAAACAUAACAUAAAACAAGGGAAGAAAUCUGCAAGAGGUGUCAAUGUCACAACUAUGUCAAAGUAACCAGUCAUAUCUAUUGGGAUAAUAUAAACAGCAGAAGUGAAUCCUGAGAUAAAGAAAUCCAUCUGUUGAUUGAUUGUUGAGUGAAAAGUGAACAGAGGAGUUCUGGAUCUUCUGAUUUCCUUCUGUGUGAGUGAUUUCUCCAGAAUGCCUUCAAGGCAGAUGACUCUCAAGAGCUGUCAGCAAAUUUAUUUAAGAAUCAAAUUUUGCCUGGUGAAGAAGGUAUGCUUCCCCUUAAGUUUCAGUCUGCUAAUAUCAGACAGCUUUCCUCCUGAGGUCUAAUGUCCGUGACUCAAUAGCCAGCCAGACAGUAUCAUUUUCUCACUGCUGACAGUGUGAUUUCCUCUCCAAUUUGUGGUUACACAAUUUGACAGAUUCACUACCAGAAGUUCCAGGCAGUGAGGUCCACUGUAGCCUGAGGAGAAGUGAAAGCUUUCAGUUUCCAGAAUAAUCAUCUUACCUCAUGCCACCUCUUGCCAUAGAACAUAAAUUCAGCUUUGAAGUGUUGAAACUUUGGUAGCUUUGAAGCUAUGGAUGGAGAGCCGUUGUACAGCAUGGAUAUCUCCCCAUGGAACAAAUAAACCAGCGGUGUGUUGUCUUUUCAAAAAUAUUUUCAUUUCAUGGAACUCGAAAUAACCAUCUGUUGAAAUAGGUGUGAUGUCAAACAGAGAGGACUGACUAGGGAGGAGAUUCUUUGUGUUUGCUGUUUCUGUUGCUGAUUCUUUUAUUGCUAACUGUAGGUAAUAAUAUAUACUUGUAGUCUCCUGGGAGGUGUUUGACAUGCUUGUAGGACUGAUUCUGUAGUCAGAAUGAAGAUAUAAGGUUCCUGAAGUAAACAGUUUUUCCAUGAAAGGUCAAUACUUCAUUCACUUCAUUCAGUAGAUUUGAUAUGCCACUCAAUAGCUGGGACAGUUGUGGAGAUGUCCUGAGAUCUCUCCUGAUAACAAGAUGUAUUUUCUUAUGGCGUAAGGCAAUUGGUGAAAUGGCAGCUCAACAGUUGCGAGUCAGAAAGGAUUUCAUCUGGUGAAACCCUGCUUUGCUGAAUGUCAAGUGAAAAUAGAAGAUUUCUAUAAAAGGAGGAGGAAGUGCUCAGGUUUUUUGUCUUCUGGGUGAAAACAAUCUCCUCUCUCAGUGGGAUUCCUUUCACAACCAAGAAGGUGAUGGUUAACUCUGAUGCUGCAUCCAUCUGACUUUCCCCAAAGCUUUGAUAGCCAGCAUUCAUCCCUGCACUUCAGCAUGCAAGAUCAGGAGUGUGCUGAAAUGCUGGUAACCGUUUGGGUGGAUGUAUAGCCAACCAUUUCGUAUUUCCAUAAUAGUGCCAUGCUCCUGUGUGAACGAGCCCAAGCACCCAUCCGAUUAGUUUACUCUCAUACUGAGAUCCCAGCCUGUUCCCUGUGCCAAGGUCUCACGCUGUGCUGCAUGGGAGGUCAUGGUGUCCUUACCUUCCUGUGAGCCCACAUCUUCUGCUAAUUUCCUUCUGCUGAGGUGUCAUCGUGCUCUCUAAAAGUUGUUCACUUGCUUGUCCGGUACCAAGUAAAUUCUUUUGAGUGCAACAGAAUGGAUGACACUGGGUUAAAAAGCAUGUCCAAUAAAAGCAGUCCUGACUUCAAUUUCAAGGGUCUAGAGUACUGUAUUAACAGAAAGUAAAGGUAGCAAAAGCAGGCAGUGAAAAUAACAUGAUCGAAUGGGGUUCUUUCAUAUAAAAUGUCAUGCCUCUACAUUGUGCCUUAGAAAGUACUGAGAUAAAAGUUUCCAGUUGCUUUAAUGGCUUCUGGUAUUUGAAGGUUGGAGGAAGCUUUAUGUUCCGUACCCUCAUCCACCGUGUACAAGCAGCAGCUGUGCUCAGCGUUUUUGGCACCGCUGCAUUAGUUCCUCUCCCUGAGCUACAGCCGCAGACGGGGAGCCUGUGGGCAGGGGAGCAGAGGAAAGGCUGACUGCAGAGCUGUGAGGCAGCUGCCCUGCUCAUGUAAACAGCGACAUGUGAGUGUCACGGAGUGGUGCUAUGUGAGCUAUAAAUUCUCCACCCACCCCAGAUCCAGCCUGACAACAGCCUGACCUCAGUUCCAUCAUGUGAACUACUUUAAGCAGAGCUUUUCAGCAUAGGGAUAUGCGGGGAUCCUGCCAAGGCUUACAGAGACUCAGGCAGAGAGAGAUGAGAUCCUCCAGGCUCCAACUUCUAUUUGUAGCUACCAGCAGAGCCCAGAGGACAGGCUACAGUGUUAACAGAAGGGUACACCACUCUGAUCUCUUCAUGCAGUCCUGUGUGAUUUACAGCA